UACGGGGGGUGCAAGCGUUGUUCGGAAUUAUCGGGCGUAAAGAGCGUGUAGGCGGCUGAAUAAGUCAGAUGUGAAAUCCCUGGGCUUAACCCAGGAAGUGCAUUUGAAACUAUUCGGCUUGAGUAGGGGAGAGGAAAGUGGAAUUCCUGGUGUAGAGGUGAAAUUCGUAGAUAUCAGGAGGAACACCGGUGGCGAAGGCGACUUUCUGGCCCUAUACUGACGCUGAGACGCGAGAGCGUGGGUAGCAAACAGG
rnacentral:rRNA from 1 species